rnacentral:rRNA from 1 species
UAAGGAAUAUUGGUCAAUGGACGCAAGUCUGAACCAGCCAUGCCGCGUGGAGGAUGAAGGCCCUCUGGGUUGUAAACUUCUUUUAUAGGGGACGAAACCCUGGUAUUCUUACCAGAUUGACGGUACCCUAGGAAUAAGCACCGGCUAACUCCGUGCCAGCAGCCGCGGUAAUACGGAGGGUGCAAGCGUUAUCCGGAUUCACUGGGUUUAAAGGGUGCGUAGGAGGGCAGGUAAGUCAGUGGUGAAAUCUCCAAGCUUAACUUGGAAACUGCCGUUGAUACUAUCUGUCUUGAAUAUUGUGGAGGUGAGCGGAAUAUGUCAUGUAGCGGUGAAAUGCUUAGAUAUGACAUAGAACACCAAUUGCGAAGGCAGCUCGCUACUCAAUUAUUGACUCUGAGGCACGAAAGCGUGGGGAUCAAACAGG